rnacentral:rRNA from 1 species
GAUCCUUACGACGCAUUUGUUUUCCGCCCGAAGGACGCCGCAACCGGUUGGGAGACGGCCUGAAAGUCGAGCGUCGGCAGGUGGCCGGUGGCGUGCCUCGUGCGCGUCGUCGGUGUCUAGCCAGCUCCUCAUACGGCUCGUAUCUCGACCGUGGUGUCGCGAAGCCCGCUCAUGGGCUUCACCGCCUCCUCUUGUAAAAAGAUGCGCACUGGACGCGGCAGUGGUUCUUCAGCAGCAGCAGGCGCACAGACUGACUCUGUGGCCAGCAGCCUGGAGUCCUCGUUGGCCGUGCGGGAUGCGUUGGAGGCCGGCGGUUAGCGGCGAGUAGAUCGGUCACCCAUCCGACCCGUCUUGAAACACGGACCAAGGAGUCUAACAUGUGUGCGAGUCAAUGGGACUCGAAUAAGCCCAGAGGCGCAAUGAAAGCAAAGGUCGGACUCGAUUCCGGCUGUGUUGGGAUCCCCGGGCCUACGAGCUCGGGGCGCACCAACGACCCGUCCUAUCCGAUUCAUCGGUUGGGCGGAGUCUGAGCAUAC